rnacentral:rRNA from 1 species
UAUCGAUAUGUGAAUACAUAGCAUAUCAGAAGGCACACCCGGAGAACUGAAACAUCUUAGUACCCGGAGGAAGAGAAAGAAAAUUCGAUUCCCUUAGUAGCGGCGAGCGAAACGGGAAGAGCCCAAACCAACAAGCUUGCUUGUUGGGGUUGUAGGACACUCUAUACGGAGUUAUAAAGGACGACAUUAGACGAAUCAUCUGGAAAGAUGAAUCAAAGAAGGUAAUAAUCCUGUAGUCGAAAAUGUUGUCUCUCUUGAGUGGAUCCUGAGUACGACGGAGCACGUGAAAUUCCGUCGGAAUCUGGGAGGACCAUCUCCUAAGGCUAAAUACUCUCUAGUGACCGAUAGUGAACCAGUACCGUGAGGGAAAGGUGAAAAGCACCCCGGAAGGGGAGUGAAAUAGAACCUGAAACCGUGUGCUUACAAGUAGUCAGAGCCCGUUAAUGGGUGAUGGCGUGCCUUUUGUAGAAUGAACCGGCGAGUUACGAUUUGAUGCAAGGUUAAGCAGUAAAUGUGGAGCCGUAGCGAAAGCGAGUCUGAAUAGGGCGUUUAGUAUUUGGUCGUAGACCCGAAACCAGGUGAUCUACCCUUGGUCAGGUUGAAGUUCAGGUAACACUGAAUGGAGGACCGAACCGACUUACGUUGAAAAGUGAGCGGAUGAACUGAGGGUAGCGGAGAAAUUCCAAUCGAACCUGGAGAUAGCUGGUUCUCUCCGAAAUAGCUUUAGGGCUAGCCUCAAGUGAUGAUUAUUGGAGGUAGAGCACUGUUUGGACGAGGGGCCCCUCUCGGGUUACCGAAUUCAGACAAACUCCGAAUGCCAAUUAAUUUAACUUGGGAGUCAGAACAUGGGUGAUAAGGUCCGUGUUCGAAAGGGAAACAGCCCAGACCACCAGCUAAGGUCCCAAAAUAUAUGUUAAGUGGAAAAGGAUGUGGCGUUGCCCAGACAACUAGGAUGUUGGCUUAGAAGCAGCCAUCAUUUAAAGAGUGCGUAAUAGCUCACUAGUCGAGUGACACUGCGCCGAAAAUGUACCGGGGCUAAACAUAUUACCGAAGCUGUGGAUUGUCCUUUGGACAAUGGUAGGAGAGCGUUCUAAGGGCGUUGAAGCAUGAUCGUAAGGACAUGUGGAGCGCUUAGAAGUGAGAAUGCCGGUGUGAGUAGCGAAAGACGGGUGAGAAUCCCGUCCACCGAUUGACUAAGGUUUCCAGAGGAAGGCUCGUCCGCUCUGGGUUAGUCGGGUCCUAAGCUGAGGCCGACAGGCGUAGGCGAUGGAUAACAGGUUGAUAUUCCUGUACCACCUAUAAUCGUUUUA